UACGUAGGGCGCAAGCGUUGUCCGGAAUUAUUGGGCGUAAAGAGCUCGUAGGCGGCCAGUUGCGUCCGCUGUGAAAUCCCGGGGCUUAACCCCGGGCGUGCAGUGGAUACGGGCUGGCUAGAGGCAGGCAGGGGAGAACGGAAUUCCCGGUGUAGCGGUGAAAUUCGUAGAUAUUCGGAAGAACACCAGUGGCGAAGGCGACUUACUGGACACAUAUUGACGCUGAGGUGCGAAAGCGUGGGGAGCAAACAGG
rnacentral:rRNA from 1 species